UACGGAGGGUGCAAGCGUUAAUCGGAAUUACUGGGCGUAAAGCGUGCGCAGGCGGUUUGUUAAGUCCGCUGUGAAAUCCCCGAGCUCAACUUGGGAAUUGCAGUGGAUACUGGCAAGCUGGAGUAUGGUAGAGGAAGGUGGAAUUCCCGGUGUAGCAGUGAAAUGCGUAGAUAUCGUGAGGAACACCAGAGGCGAAGGCGGCUACCUGGACAAUUGCUGACGCUCAGGCACGAAAGCGUGGGGAGCAAAAGGG
rnacentral:rRNA from 1 species